rnacentral:rRNA from 1 species
GGUAGCUACAGUAGAGUUUGAUCCUCGGCUCAGUAAGUCGUAACAAGGGAUCCAGUAGAGUUUGCGGCGGAGGGGUGAGUAACACGUGGGUAACCUGCCUGUAAGACUGGGAUAACUCCGGGAAACCGGGGCUAAUACCGGAUAUUCUUUUUCUUCGCAUGAAGAAGAAUGGAAAGGCGGCUUUUAGCUGUCACUUACAGAUGGACCCGCGGCGCAUUAGCUAGUUGGUGAGGUAACGGCUCACCAAGGCAACGAUGCGUAGCCGACCUGAGAGGGUGAUCGGCCACACUGGGACUGAGACACGGCCCAGACUCCUACGGGAGGCAGCAGUAGGGAAUCUUCCGCAAUGGACGAAAGUCUGACGGAGCAACGCCGCGUGAGUGAAGAAGGUUUUCGGAUCGUAAAGCUCUGUUGUCAGGGAAGAACAAGUACGGAAGUAACUGUCCGUACCUUGACGGUACCUGACCAGAAAGCCACGGCUAACUACGUGCCAGCAGCCGCGGUAAUACGUAGGUGGCAAGCGUUGUCCGGAAUUAUUGGGCGUAAAGCGCGCGCAGGCGGCUUCUUAAGUCUGAUGUGAAAGCCCACGGCUCAACCGUGGAGGGUCAUUGGAAACUGGGAGGCUUGAGUGCAGAAGAGGAGAGCGGAAUUCCACGUGUAGCGGUGAAAUGCGUAGAGAUGUGGAGGAACACCAGUGGCGAAGGCGGCUCUCUGGUCUGUAACUGACGCUGAGGCGCGAAAGCGUGGGGAGCGAACAGGAUUAGAUACCCUGGUAGUCCACGCCGUAAACGAUGAGUGCUAAGUGUUGGAGGGUUUCCGCCCUUCAGUGCUGCAGCUAACGCAUUAAGCACUCCGCCUGGGGAGUACGGCCGCAAGGCUGAAACUCAAAGGAAUUGACGGGGGCCCGCACAAGCGGUGGAGCAUGUGGUUUAAUUCGAAGCAACGCGAAGACCUUACCAGGUCUUGACAUCCCGCUGACCGGUCUGGAGACAGGCCUUUCCCUUCGGGACAGCGGUGACAGGGGGUGCAUGGUUGUCGUCAGCUCGUGGUCGUGAGAUGUGGGGUUAGUCCCGCAACGAGCGCACCCUUGAUCUUAGUGCCAGCAUCAGUUGGGCACUCUAGGUGACUGCGGUGACAAACCGGAGAAGUGGGGAUGACGUCAAUCAUCAUGCCCUUAUGACCUGGCCUACACACUGCUUAAUUGGAUGUUACAAGGGCUGCAGACGAAGUAAGCAUUGAUAAACAUUCUCAUUUCCGAUUGCAGCCUGCAAUCUUCGUGCAGUAGAGAGCAGGA